UCAGGCUUAUUUUUAUUUCCCAGUCAGCCCCGGACAUCAAGAAGCGGUUGCAGCAGCUCGAGGGUGCUGAAGGAAAAUCCCUGGAGGAACUGGUAAGCGUGGCCACCCGAGUAUAUCAUACAAGGGAAAAAGUUCAAGAGACCAAACAGGUGAGGAUGCUAGCAGCCCUUGUAAACACUGGAAAUGAACAACAGGGAGGGCGGCAGGGACCCCCCAAGUGGCAACCAAAAUCAGAUUAUGGGGGGACCCCGAGACAUGCCAAUGACAUAUGUAACUACUGUAAGCAGCCUGGCCACUGGAAGAGAGAGUGUCCGUACCAACCUACCGGACGACAACCCCGUCGCCCAGACCGACCUCAACAACAGAUGGCUGUGACAAGAACAGACGCUGUUGCUAGUGAGGAAUGACGGCAACCAGGGGGUCCUCUUGUCACCUAUUCAAAUGAUUUUACCACUUAUGUUUGUUCCUCCACAGACCCCCAAGUUCGCCUAACAUUGGGAGGAACCACCUAUUUUUGUCUUUUGGAUUCAGGGGCUGCACUUUCUACUGUUACUGCCAAGCCGGAGAGAGGAAGCCUUACAGAUAAGAGCAUUCCGGUAAUGGGUAUAGGCGAGAAGCCAUUUGACUGUUCUGUAUUACAGGAGGCUGCUGUAGAAAUCUCUGGUGUCUCCGCCUCCCAUGCCUUUCUGCUAGCCCCGGAUUCCCCAGUUAACCUCUUAGGCAGAGAUCUGUUGUGUAAACUACGUGCUCAGAUUUUCUUUUCAGAUGACAAAAUCAUUCUUCGGUUGCCUCAGACCCAACUUCCCCAGCUGUGUGCUGUUCUAACCCAAGUUUCAAAGGACCCGAUCCUGCCUGCGGACCCAAUCUUACCCGAGCGACUCAGACAGGAGUAUUCCUCUAGAUAAGGACAGCUGGGGCCACGCUUACCAAUUCAAUUUCAGUCCCUACUCGCUGAUGUUCCUGCCCACCGGAUCGCUCCAGGAGACUGGGUCUAUGUGAAAGAGUGGAAACACGAGCCUCUCCAACCCCGGUGGGCGGGCCCUUUCCAAGUCCUUCUUACCUCUCACACUGCUAUUCGAGUGAGAGAGCGAGACACUUGGAUACACCACACCCGAGUCAAGCUAGCCCCUAGGACGGGGCCAGAAGCGGACGACUUCGGACCUCGAGGGAGCACCGCCAGCUCUUCCCACCGCGACCCGGAAGAGCCAGAAACAGACGAUACCUGGAAAGCUGAACCUCUUGAGGGACUAAAGCUUCUGUUCCGGCAGACAAAAUCCUGAGACUUUAUAACUAUGGGUUCUCAGACGGUGCUGCAGUGGAUAUUGCUUUUGGGUUUGCCCCUUGUACAAGCUAACCCACACCCAGCCACUAAACCUCUUCAGUGAAUAGCCACGUUGGGACACUUAUCUGAUUGUUGGCUGUGUCACAAAACCCGCUCUGAGGAAGGAAUAGGAUUGUGGGCUGUACCUGCAAAUCUUUCUGAAGUACUCUCCUUACAGGUAGAACGGAAAACUGAAUGGGCAUGGAUUGGGGAAUAUCAAUAUGA